AACGCGAAGAACCUUACCAGGGCUUAAAUGUAGUCUGACAGGGGUGGAAACACCCUUUUCUUCGGACAGAUUACAAGGUGCUGCAUGGUUGUCGUCAGCUCGUGCCGUGAGGUGUCAGGUUAAGUCCUAUAACGAGCGCAACCCCUGUUGUUAGUUGCCAGCGAGUCAAGUCGGGAACUCUAACAAGACUGCCGGUGCAAACCGUGAGGAAGGUGGGGAUGACGUCAAAUCAUCACGGCCCUUACGUCCUGGGCCACACACGUGCUACAAUGGCAGGUACAAUGGGCAGCCACUGCGUAAGCAGGAGCGAAUCCACAAAACCUGUCUCAGUUCGGAUCGGGGUCUGCAACUCGACCCCGUGAAGCUGGAAUCGCUAGUAAUCGGAUAUCAGCCAUGAUCCGGUGAAUACGUUCCCGGGGUCUUGUACACACCG
rnacentral:rRNA from 1 species